rnacentral:rRNA from 1 species
GGCGGCGUGGAUAAGACAUGCAAGUCGAGCGAGAUUUUUUCCUGUAGCAAUACAGGGAAAAGUCUAGCGGCGAACGGGUGCUUAACACGUGGGCAAUCUGCCUAGAAGUGGGGGAUAGCUCGCCGAAAGGCGAAUUAAUACCGCAUGUGAUUAGAGUGGACAUCCAUUCGAAAUCAAAGUCGGGGCAACCUGACGCUUCUUGUGGGGCCCGCGGCCUAUCAGCUAGUUGGUGAGGUAACGGCCCACCAAGGCUUUGACGGGUAGCUGGUCUGAGAGGACGACCAGCCACACUGGGACUGAGACACGGUCCAGACACCUACGGGUGGCAGCAGUCGAGAAUAAUUCACAAUGGGGGCAACCCUNAUGGUGCAACGCCNCGUGGAGGAUGACGGUCUUCGGAUUGUAAACUCCUGUCAUCUGGGAGUAAGACCUGGCUGUGAAUAGCA